rnacentral:rRNA from 1 species
GUCUGUCUACGGGGGGCAGCAGUGGGGGAUAUUGCACAAUGGGGGGAACCCUGAUGCAGCGACGCCGCGUGGGCGAUGGAGUGCUUCGGCAUGUAAAGCCCUAUCAGCAGGGAAGAAAAUGACGGUACCUGACUAAGAAGCCCCGGCUAAAUACGUGCCAGCAGCCGCGGUAAUACGUAGGGGGCAAGCGUUAUCCGGAUUUACUGGGUGUAAAGGGGGCGCAGACGGCGAUGCAAGCCAGGAGUGAAAGCCCGGGGCCCAACCCCGGGACUGCUCUUGGAACUGCGUGGCUGGAGUGCAGGAGG